GAUUAAGAGCAUUGAUUGCUUGGCACUUCUACCCACAAGUUGUGAACUGCAUCUAAGUCUUUAUCCAUGGAGAGGCAGAAGGUCAUCCCCAUGUUACGGAUGAAAAGAGUGGCUCUCCAGCAAGGAGCUAAGUGAAGCCUUGAGUUCUCUGACACUGAGAAAUCAAGCUGGAGCUGAGCUGGAAGCCUCCUCUCUGCUGAUUAGUUGUCACAAGAGAAAAGUCAUCAAAAUACUAUGAACCAGCCGUGAAUUCUGCAAGCGACACAAGUGGCCAGCCAGGCAAGAUGUGUCCACUGGUGCAGCAGUGGCAUUGUCUGGCAUCCUGGUGCUCUCUGCCCAGCUUUGAGGAGGAAGGGAGUCCAUGUCUGGUAUUGAAAACCUAAUUAAAAUCCCAUUAUGGCUAUGAAAGUGAUAAAUCCUACUGCGGAAGCUCCUAUUAGUGUUUGGCCAAAUGAACAUAGUAUGCCCACUGUGGUGGUUUGAUGGAGGUGUCCCCCAUAAACUUAGGUGUUCUGAAUGCCGUG